ensembl:lncRNA
CUCAUUUUCACUUCUUGUGAUGGUAGAACUGUGAAUGUUUUUGUUGUAUGUUGUUACGGAUAUGUUUUCACAGCCAUCAGCGGCAUCAGAUGUGAAAAGAAGGGAGAUUUGAAUGUGCAGGGUGAGGUGACAGAUCCUGCCGAGGUUACACGAUGCAUUGCAAUGUUCUCUGGGAGAAGAAGCUGGUUUAGUGAUGGCUAAUCUCGCAGCUGAGCUAAAUCCUUACAUUUACUUGAACAUCAUAAGGGAAUUGUUCUGGCAGACAAACAGUGUCAUAGCAAUAGCUUACAACUAUUGGCAUGAACUGCUGCUACUUUAUGCAUAGUUGCAUAUUGUAAUCAAUGCCACAAGGAGCUUCCAGUUGUUGGACUAGCCAAAGAAUGGUGGGAAAGGACUUUAUCUUUCUUUGAGCAAGCGCUUCGCUGGACUCCUGGAAGACACACCUCAUGUCACUUAUCUAAUCGCCCGAUGGUUCCAAUUCUUUUGAAGAGGUAAUAUUUUUACAAUGCAGAACUGCUUUUAAUGAGCUCCGUGGAUUGGAUCCCUGGUUGUUGCACAUCACUGACAUUUGGCAAGUUGAAAUGGUCCAAUGUAAGGGUUAUAUUUGGUGAAAAAAGUGCUACAUCUCAAGAGAUCAGCCCCUCUGUUGGACUGGAUGGGAAUGUGAGGUGUUUAAACUCUGCUUCAAAGAGUAGUUCCAGUGUCUUUUCAAAGGCAGGAGACUAAGUCACAGGGGAGCCCAAUUUCCUAUUUCCAUGCAUUAAGCCAGUAGUUGACCCAGUUCAAAAUUCAAACCUCUUCAUCCCAAAUGAAUAUCCUGCUGACUAUUCCACUGUUUCGUUAUGCACCGUGAGGCAGAAGAAUCUUACUGUUGAUUUCUGUUUGGAACAUAAGUUGGCCAAAAGAGCAAUCAUAAAUUUUAGAAAACCUCGUCCUUCAUUUCUCUGCAAACUUGACUAGUGGGAUCAUCGCAAAGCAGUGAUAGUGAAGUGCUAAAUAUCAGUAACUCUUUGGCUUCUCAUACUUGAGACAUUCGGAUGCUUCUUAACAAUGCAGAUAGAUACUGAAAGCCAAUUUGAAAUUAACAUUUCUAUAAUCAAAUGACUUUAAAUAUACUGCAUCAAUUUUGUGCAUGGUUCCAAAGAGUGCAAUUUAAUGAGAUGUCUGUAGAAUUUUUACUUUUACAGACCAGUAGAGUAACGCUGAUGGACUGCAUCUGCUUCUGCUAUAUUCAUUCUAUCUGACCUACUGAAUAUUUGGCAUUAUUUUCAUGCCUUGUCGCUGUUUGUUUAGGAUAGAGACGUGUUUUGGAACUGUUGCAUUUGAGAGGAAGGAUCAAGGCACUUUGAGAAAGAUCCAGUUUUGUCUUCACCAGUGACACGUCAUUUUCUGUUGUCACUAUGAGGUAGCAGCUUUGGAGGGCUGUGAGUAUUUGCUCCACAGCUUAUCUCUGUGAACUUGCAGUGCAUUAAAGUAUUUCUCAUACUCAUACCACAGUUUAUGGGCUGGUUUGGCCCAGUUCCAUGACUAAUGGGGUUUGGGGACCCAUGGAAUCACACCCCAGGAAAGGGGGAGAGGGGAAAGAGUAGGGAGACGGGCCUAAAAACAAAACAACAGCAACAAUCUGAGGAGAAGAGCUGAUUCACUAAAUACAAUAUAACACAAUAUAAUUAAAAUUGAGGCUAAUAAAUCAGAUAAAAUGAGAGAGUAUCCAAAAACUGAAGGCCAUAUUCUAAUGCUGAAGGUGAGACAGCCAGGGAGCACACACACUGCAGAGAUGAGCAAAGGGGAAAAGGGCCAUCUCGUGGCAUGUGAACAGUUUUAUCUUUCCCUCUGAACGGAAAAUGGAAACACAAAGCCCUCUGGUGGAUGUAGUUCUUCUGAGAACCAGGUACCCAGAGAUAUUGACAAUCCAUGGAACUGGAGCAUUAACUCUUUAACUCCCUGUGCACUACACGGUGUUAUGAUGUGGAAUAACAAUAACCAAAAAUCAUAAAAACCACGACAAAUGAUGGUAGAUUUGGGUUCUGUUUAUGGGCUCUGAGAGGAAAAGCAUUCCAAAGGUGACAGCAGGCCUAGAACGGUACAUGCACACUGUCUACAUGGUUCAAGCAAAGGGGAACACACAGGCACAGCAGCAAAAGAAGUCUCAACUAUCACCACGUGCUGUUCUCUACUAAUGUUAGAAUUAGCACUUUCAGCCUUUAAAUACAGCAGCAGAGCCAACCGAGACACCACGGUCCUGAUGCAGGACAAUGGAGUGGACAAAAAGAGGGGCACAGACAUUCAGCAUAUUGCACUGGACUGUUCCGACAAAGCUGUCAACACCCAGAGAGACAAGCUCUCCUAACUGGCACACUGUAACAGGCCAGUUCUGGAAAGCACAAGGAGGAACGCUGAAAACAGUAUUUUGCUUAUUAUUGGGGGCUUGACAGGAUUGCUGUUUUUGCUGUGCACUGUAGUCACAACACUUCUUUUGCUGAAACACAGGAAACCUCCCACUGCUUCAGCUUGCAAGGCACCCAUCAGCUACUGCAGCAGCGGUGGAACUGUGACUGCAUGAUACA